rnacentral:rRNA from 1 species
UACGUAGGGCGCAAGCGUUGUCCGGAAUUAUUGGGCGUAAAGCGCGUGUAGGCGGCUUUGCAAGUCGGGUGUGAAAGCCCUCAGCUCAACUGAGGAAGUGCGCCCGAAACUGCAGAGCUUGAGUACCGGAGAGGAUGGCGGAAUUCCCCAAGUAGAGGUGAAAUUCGUAGAUAUGGGGAGGAACACCGGUGGCGAAGGCGGCCAUCUGGACGGAUACUGACGCUGAGACGCGAAAGCGUGGGUAGCAAACAGG